AUUGAACGCUGGCGGCAGGCCUAACACAUGCAAGUCGAGCGGGGACUUCGGUCCUAGCGGCGAACGGGUGAGUAAUGUUUGGGAAUCUGCCCAGUAGUGGGGGAUAACGUCCCGAAAGGGACGCUAAUACCGCAUACGUCCUACGGGAGAAAGAGGGGGAUCUUCGGACCUCUCGCUAUUGGAUGAGCCCAAGUCGGAUUAGCUAGUUGGUAGGGUAAUGGCCUACCAAGGCGACGAUCCGUAGCUGGUCUGAGAGGAUGAUCAGCCACACUGGAACUGAGACACGGUCCAGACUCCUACGGGAGGCAGCAGUGGGGAAUAUUGGACAAUGGGCGAAAGCCUGAUCCAGCCAUGCCGCGUGUGUGAAGAAGGCCUUCGGGUUGUAAAGCACUUUAAGCGGGGAGGAAGGUUCGCGGCCUAAUACGUCGCGGAAUUGACGUUACCCGCAGAAUAAGCACCGGCUAACUCUGUG
rnacentral:rRNA from 1 species